GUGGGCUCCAGUUUCAGCCACGUAGGACCGGGUAGAACACAGAAAUUCUAGUUUCCUCUCGGAGAUGGGGUUUCACCAUAUUGGCUAUGCUGGUCUCGAACUCCUGACCUUGUGAUCCACCUGCCUUGGCCUCCCAAAGUGCUGGGAUUACAGGAUGAAAGGCUUCCUAGCACAAACACCACCCCUGGAGUUCCCGGUACAUCAAUACCAGCCUGGGGAUCACGUUCUCAUCAAGAGUUGGAAGAGGGAAAGCUUGAACCAGCUUAGGAGGACCUCAUCUGGUACUCUUGAUGAAUGAAACAGCAAUCUGAAUGGCUGAAAAAGGAUGGACCCAGCACUCCAGGGAGAAAACUUGGCAUUCUUUGGGAAUCUAACAGGAUGCAGUGAACCCAAGCCUUUUGAAGAGCUCACCAAUCAGACUGCCCUUGUCUAUCCAUGAGCAGAUGUUUGAUAGUAUUGCGGAGGCCCUCUAGUGGGUAUGCUGCCAAGCAACUGGAGUGGCACUUGGGCUCUAAUCCAGUUGUCUAUCCCUUUCACCCUGGCAUUUCAUCAGCCAAACAAAAACCAACUAACUCAGAAAAAAAGGAAAGCCCCUCAAGGGUCCUUUGACCCCGAUAUCUACAUAGAUGCUAUCGGGGUCCCCUGAGGGGUACCAAACGAAUUCAAAGCUCGAAAUCAAAUAGCUGCUGGAUUCAAGUCUGUCCUUUUCUUGUGGUCUACUAUAAAUAAAAAUGUAGACUGGAUAAAUUACAUAUACUAUAACCAACAACGAUUUGUCAGUUACACCAGGGAUGCCAUUAAAGGAAUAGCUGAACAAUUGGGUUUCACCAGCCAAAUGGCCUGGGAAAAUAGAAUAGCUCUUGACAUGAUAUUAGUGGAAGUCCAAUGUUGUACCUGUAUCCCCAAUAAUACAGCCCCUGAUGUAACUAUCACUAAGGGUCUAUAAGGCCUCACCACUCUAGGAAAUGAACUAGCUGAAAAUUCGGGAAUGAAUGAUCCCUUUACAGGUGUAAUGGAAAAAAUGGUUUGGUAGAUGGAAAGGACUAAUGGCCUCUAUUCUCACCUCCCUUGUGAUCAUAAUAGGGGUGCUCAUUCUCUUAGGGUGCUGUAUUAUACCCUGUGUCUGCGGACUAGUUCAAAAGCUCAUAGAAACAGCCCUUACCAAGACCUCCCACAACUCUCCCCCACCCUAUUCAGAUAAACGUUUAUUUCUAAGCAACCAAGAAGAGCAGUGAAGCCAGAUCCUGUUAGAAAUAUAUGAAGAGGAAGGACUACAAAAUCAAAAGGGGAAAAUUAUUAGACAAAAUGAGUUGCUCUACAAAGGUCCAACUUCGUUGUCCUUUGUUCUGUAACCUUUGUUCUGUAAACUGCCCUUCCCGCAGAAACUGUCUUUCCCGCCGACCAAAACUGCCCUUCACUAUCACUGUAAUCCAUACCCCUACUCUAUUUGAAACUGCCAAUCGGGAUCAGCUUACAUUGUGUGGUUCAACCACCAGCCAAUGAGGAAAAAACACAGAAGCAAAAGCUAUGAUGCAUUAGGGUUAAAAACCCCUUCCUUUCCCUGUCCAAUGUGCUCUUGAGACUGCUACAGGCGCAAGCAGCCACCUUCUGCAGAAGUAAACCUUGCCUUGCUGAGAAAUUUUUCUUUUGAGUGCUGGUCUCUCUCUGUGGCACCAAGAACUUAUUUCUAACAUGGAGUGAUUUCCAAGAUAGAUGGUUAAGUGAAAAUAAAAACUGUUGCCAGGCACGGUAGCUCAUGCCUGUAAUCCCAGCACUUUGGGAGUCUGAGGAGGUUGGAUUAUUUGAGGUCAGGAGUUUGAGACCAGCCUAGCCAACAUGGUGAAAUCCUGUCUCUUCUAAAUAUACAAAAAAUUAGCCGGGCGUGGUUGUGGGUGCCUGUAAUCCCAGCUACUUGGGAAGCUGAGGCAGAAGAAUUGCUUAAACCCAGGAAGCAGAGGUUGCAGUGAGCCGAGAUCACAGCACUGCACUCCAGCCUGGGUGAUAGAGUGAGACUCGGUCUCAAAAACAAUAAUAAUAAUAAUAAUAAUACAAAUAAAAAAAUGAAAAUAAAGGCCAGGUGCUGUGGCUCACCCCUCUAAUCCCAGCACUUUGGGAGGCUGAGGCAGGUGGAUCACAAGGUCAGGAGUUCAAAACCAGCCUGGCCAAGAUGGUGAAACCCCGUCUCUACUAAAAAUACAAAAAUUAGCUGGGCACAGUGGCAGGCGCCUGUAAUCCCAGCUACUUGGGAGGCUGAGGCAGGAUAAUUGCUUAAACCUGGGUGGCAGAGGUUGCAGUGAGCCAAGAUCAUGCCACUGCACUCCAGC
rnacentral:lncRNA from 1 species